ACGGCUCAGUAACGCGUAGUCAACCUACCCUAUGGACGGGAAUAAUCUCGGGAAACUGAGCAUAAUACCCGGCGUACCACCAUUCCUGGAAUGGUUGGUGGUUAAAAUGAUUCGUCGCCGUAGGAUGGGACUGCGACUUACCAGCUUGUUGGUGAGGUAAAGGCCCACCAAGGCGAUUACAGGUACGGGCUCUGAGAGGAGAAGCCCGGAGAUGGGUACUGAGACACGGACCCAGGCCCUAUGGGGCGCAGCAGGCGAGAAAACUUUGCAAUGUGCGAAAGCACGACAAGGUUAAUCCGAGUGAUUUCUGCUAAAGGAAUCUUUUGCCAGUUCUAAAAAUACUAGUGAAUAAGGGGUGGGCAAGUUCUGGUGUCAGCCGCCGCGGUAAAACCAGCACCUCAAGUGGUCAGGAGGAUUAUUGGGCCUAAAGCAUCCGUAGCCUGCUCUGUAAGUUUUCGGUUAAAUCUAUAUGCUCAACGUAUAGGCUGCCGAAAAUACUGCAGUGCUAGGAAGUGGGAGAGGUAGACGGUACUUGAUAGGAAGGGGUAAAAUCCUUUGAUCUAUCGAUGACCACCUGUGGCGAA
rnacentral:rRNA from 1 species